rnacentral:rRNA from 1 species
UAGCCGUAAACGAUACUCGCUAGGUGUCGGCCACGGUGCGACCGUUGUCGGUGCCGUAGGGAAGCCGUGAAGCGAGCCACCUGGGAAGUACGGCCGCAAGGCUGAAACUUAAAGGAAUUGGCGGGGGAGCACAACAACGGGUGGAGCUUGCGGUUUAACUGGAUUCAACGCCGGAAAUCUUACCGGGACCGACAGCAACAUGAAGGCCAAGCUGAAGACUUUGCCGGAUUAGCUGAGAGGAGGUGCAUGGCGUAGUCGUGU